rnacentral:lncRNA from 1 species
UUUGUUUUUUUUUUUUUUUUUUUUGUCUAUAUUGUUGAAUUUAAGGUCAAAAUUUGCGUCAACUCGGAAUUUACGAUGGUUACACAUGACAAUCAUGGGUACAAGCAGUCCAAGUUUUCUUAAAAAAUCAUAUCGCCGUCCAAAAUAUAUGUACAUAUGCAUCCGAAAAGUGGGAAUGAUAUAUGAGUCUCAACGUUUAUUGGAAUUUUAUUUUUCACAUUUCGGGUUUAAUUCGGACACGAAUUAAAUUUUUAAGAUUUGGUCAAAAUAUUGAAUAAAAAACUAUAAAAGAAGUAUGCUAUUUAUUAUAGUUAAAAGUUAAAACUCUGUUUUUUUUAUUAGUUAAUAUCACAAAAGUAUAAACAAAAGUAAGUCUUAUUGGUAAGAUAAGGAUUAAGGACUGCUUUGAUUGAUUUUAACAUGUUAGGUUAAUGAGAAUUGAGAGGCCACUGACAUUAGUCAAAUGUUACUUUCUUCUCUUAAGAUUGAUAUAAGAUAAUAGAAUAUGAAAAUUCUAUGCCAUCUUAUUAUAUAAAGUUGGGUUUUCGAAGUUACUAACUCAAGAGAUUGCGACACGUGUCAUAUCUAACGGUUAGAGAUUUAAAGAUAAUGUUAAGAAAAUUAUAAAUUAAAUAAUUUAAUAUGUAAAAAGAUUUGUGUUUUUGAACUAAUUAAUAGAUUUGGAAAUUCAUACAAAAAUCAUGUGUUAUUCAAUCAUUGAUUUUAAAAUCUUUAUCAAAAUCAUGUGUUAUUAGUUCGAUGAUUUAUAAAUACUAAUUAAAAUAUUAUAUUAUUCGUUUAGUGAUUUGUUUUGGGAUUUCAAAAUUCAUUUUUUAAAAGUUAGUUGUGUUUUUGAACUAAUCCAUAUUUCUGGCCUUUUUUAAAAGUUAGUUGUGUUUUUGAACUAAUUAAUAGAUUUGGAAAUUCAUACAAAAAUCAGGUGUUAUUCAAUCAUUGAUUUUAAAAUCUUUAUCAAAAUCAUGUGUUAUUAGUUCGAUGAUUUAUAAAUACUAAUUAAAAUACUAUAUUAUUCGUUUAGUGAUUUGUUUUUGGAUUUCAAAAUCCAUAUUUUAAAAUAAUAGGAUUUGAAUGGAUUUCAUAGUGAAAAAUAGAAGGAUUCAAAUCCGUGGGUAAACACAUGUUAUUUCAAAAUUCAUAUGUCUUGAUUUCAAAAUUAUUAAAGAUUUCCAAAUUCGAUGUGGAUUUACAAAUCCAUAAACCAAUAAACCCCCCUAAGACUUUGAAUGUUUACUAGGACCAUGAAUGGCGAACGAUUCUUGGAUUCACCCCUAGGGGUGAAUCCUUUUUAUUCACCUCCUUCUAACUAACCAAUCAAAAUUAGCCAUAUCAUCUAAAUAAACUAAUUAAAAUAAUUAAUAAUAUUUAAAUAAAACAACUAAAUUAAAUCAAUUAUGGAUUCCACCAAUUAAAUAUUUUAUUUUACAAUUAAACAAAAUUAUAUAUCGGUUUAGGUUUAUAAAGGAGUGGUUAGGGUUUAGAUUUUAUAAUUUUUACGAAAUUAUAUGUCGGUUUGGGUUUAUAAAGGAGUGGUUAGGUUGAUGUUAUAUAAAAAAAAGAGGGUUACGGUUUAGAUUUUACAAUUAAAAAGAAAUUAGAUAUCGGUUUGGGUUGACAAAGGAGUGGUUAGGGGUGAACUUAUAUGCCGGUUUUACAAGUCACUUCAAUUGAACCUUGUUCUCCAUACAUGGACUUAAGGUAAUUAUCGAAUCAGUGUGGUUAUUGAAUUUUGAUUUAAGAUGUUACGAAGUUAGCCAACUUAACUUAAGAUAGAUAAUAAACCAAUUUUUGUGGUUAUACAUACAUACAUUUUUUUUUUUUUUUUUUUUGAUAAAGAUAUACAUACAUUACAUACGUUAACGAAUCAUAGAAAUAAUCCCCAAAUUAUUUUUAAAGCUAACUGACUUGAAAAAAUGACCAAAAUUAGAUUGUGCCAUCAUACACAAUCUCGCUUAUUUAUGCUAAACCCAGAAGAUCCAUAUGAUUAAUGAGACCAACUGUGACCAACCAAAGAGAAGAAAAUGAUUAAUGAAACUAAAUGCAUAAUCAAUAGAGAAAACAGAGUUUUGUGCCAAUCCUUAGAGAAAAUAAGUCUUUCAUCAGAAUAAUAACACCAAACUCUAAAGAAGACGAGAGGGAGAAACUAAAGUUUGAAAUUAAGUUGAAUCAUUAUCAACAACCGAGUUAGUUCUCUCUAACUCUACUCAUCAUCUUGAUCGUCUUCAAUGUCAUCAAACUCAGACUCAUUCCCAGAUUCACUCUCCGAAUCACUCCACCACACAUACCCCCUAUUCGCAAAAACAUCUCCAGAUUUCUCUGACGAUGAGUUUCCAGCUGCAUUCUCGCUGCUCUCCUCUUCCUUAUUAGCCAACCUGCUCAUCACUGAACUACUCUUCUUGUUAAACGGAGACGAUCUCAGCUUCCUCACUUUCUUCUCCGGGGACACUACCACGUCGUCAUCAUCGUCAUCCAGAGAAAUUUCUUUCGCUGUUUCAGUUGUUUCUGUUGACACAGAAAAAGAAAAGGCUAAACUUCAGGACAGGCAUUACAUGCAAGCAGUUCUGUUUGAUCAAUGUUUCUUUGUCAAAAAUGUGAUUGUUAUUAACAGCUUACUGUUAUAUUAGAUCAAACCUAGAAAAACAAAACACAAUGAAAAACAAUUUGAGCACAAGACUAACCUGUGUCCAUUGCUGAAUUUGAAGCCUCUUUUGUUACAGAUUCACUGGCUUUCUUUGGUGCCGGUUUCUUUGGCGCCUGUCUCUCUUCAUCGGGUUGAGCAUCUUGCUUAUCAAGUUCCUGCGAUAAGAGGAAAAGAUGUAUCAAUGACAAAAUGUGGUAAUUUCCUAAUGUGAAGCGUUAUAAAUAAGGCUUAGCAUUGUGCAUCCUUACCUCUAGUUCUUUGAGCCUGAGGGAUUCCGGUGUGGCGUUUUUCAAGUCUUCAACUGCAUCCAUCAUUUGAUCUCUCUGUGCCCUUACCUCUUGUACUGUAUCUGUAAUCAAAACAGACAAUUGCAAUAGGUAAUUAUAGUAUGAGCUUUCAGCUGCAUUAGUUGCUCCAGCAACUGCUGCUUCGACAGGCUUGGCAUUUUCCAGGAUUUCUGUGAACCAUUUUUCUCUCAACUUCUGAUCAUUAGCUAUCUCUAGUUUCAGCAGCUCAAGUUCCCGAUUCUUCAGCAUAAUUUCCUGAUUCUUCAGCAUAGUUUCCUGUACACAUCACAACACAGUUAAUGUUAGAUCAUUGCCUUAAUAAGUAAAACCUCAAAAAAAAAAACUGAACUUUUCUAACCUUUUUCUUCUCAUAGUAUUCAAGCGUGAGGUCAUCAACCAUCGAUGGAAAAAUAUGAGUGCCAGGCUGAAUGGGAAAACAGGGACAUCAGAACAUGCAUAUAUAACAAGCAAAGCACAGAUAUUUUAAAGAUAACUCAAUCCAUCAUACCUCAUAGUUCGAAAGCAAGUUUUCCACCACGCCAGAUUUGGCCACUAAAACAAACAUUAUAUAGAAAAGAAAUCAUUAAGGACUCUUCUUUAAAGCAGUUACAACACUAAUAUAAAAAGAUGGAUCAAGCAAACUGAAAGUUCACAUUUCUUUAGAUCAACACACGAUACCUUUCUGAAGGAUAUUUUCUGAAAGUUGACAUUUCGACCCGAAACUUCUCUCUGGAAGAGUCAGUGUUUCUUUUGUUUGAGAAUCAAACGCAGGAUUGUCAAUCAGAGCAUUGACAAAGACCCACAGAUGGUUCUUCACAUUAUGAGUCUUGACAUUAGGGUAUUUCUUCUUUUUGUUCACAAUACCCACAAUGUACUCUGUGACCUGGCUGGUCACAUAAUCAACAUGCGUACCACCCUUAAUUGUCGCAAUGGAGUUGACAAAGCUAACCUGUUAGUAGCCAAAAACGAGUUUACUCAUUCAUCAUGAAGAACAAAAGGUAAUAAUAGCCAGCCAUUAUAUAUAUAUAUAUAUAUAUAUAUAUAUAUGUUGAAACCGUCCAUCACUUAAGCUCACACAAACUUCCCAUCUAUCAUUAACUUUCUCAUUCAUCCUACUCACACAAAAACUCAAAAAGAUCAAAAUCUAUUCCAAGACACCAAAAUUGUUAUAACUCAAUAACGAAUCAUAGAACAAACCUUGGGAGAGGCUCAGUCCUUGAUUUACUGGCGGCACUUAAGUAGAGAUCAACAUAAUCACUGAAUGACUUAAUUGGUACUCGUUUUCCAUUCAGGUCAACUUUGACAGUCUGUCCCAAACAGCCAGCAAUAUCAAACACUCGCUUACUCAUUAGAGCAACCACAUCGUUCUCCAAUUCAGUCAUGUUAAACUUCUUCAAAUCAGGCUUGAAUGUAACCUUCGUCCAAUUCUCACCCUUAUUGCACUUGGUUAUAAAUAGUUUAGACAUGUUCCCCAUAUUGUUUUCAAAGACCUAAAACAUCACCAGUAAUGUCAAUCAAAAUUCCUCAAAUUACUCUAAUCAAUCGAAAUCUAAAACUCAACACAGAAAGCAAAUAAAACGAUUCCAAUACCUGCUUAUACUUCUUGAGUGAUCUCUUCCCAUCUGCAAUCUCUAUAAUGAAUUCAGUAGAGAAGAUGUUUGUAAGCGUAGCACCAAAUCCGUUUCUUCUACCAGUAGUCUUCUUAACAUUAUUAUCGUAAUUCCUCCUCAACCAAUGACCAAAAAAAAUCCCAGGCACAAAAACACCUUCUUCAAGAGGAACUCCAUCACCACUGUUACACACACUAAUCUGAUUCUUCUCAACAUCGAUCACAACUUUGACAGAAUCCAUAGACGGAUCUCUCCGUUUAUUAUCAGCAGCAUUCACAAGGAUCUCAUCAAAGAUCUUAUACAAUCCAGGAACAUAAGUAACAGAACGACAAACCAUCUCUUCCUUCUCAUAAACCCAAAGCGUUUGGGUAUGUUUCUCAAUCGAUCCUAUAUAAGAAUCAGGACAAAGUAGGAUAUGCUCAAUUGUAUUCCCAGCGGAAGCUAGCGAUGAUGCCGGAGCCUUCGCAACAUUGGCGUUGUCGAUGUUUUGCAUCGGGAGCUUCGAAGCCAUGUUUAAGAGGAACGACGAGAGUUUCUUAGAGAUGGAUCUAGAAAUUAGGGUUUUUUUUUUUGGGGAAGAAGAAGAAGAAGGAUUUUAAUCUAGUCGGCCCCUGUACUCAAAAUCCAUUCCAUUUAGCCUCGUAAUAAAAUUAAUAUAGUUAAUAGUUUAUUUUAAUUCAGAAAAAUAGUAAAAGACAAAUAAAACAAGGAGUUUUCACUUAUUUACGACCUAACCAGUCAGUUGGAUCUAGAUCCAUAUGACUUUCGGAUAUUUUAUCCCCAAAGUCGAAUCCAAACACUAAUUUCCAAAUCACCUUUUUUUUUAUUUCUCCUCUCUACGACUUUUUCAUCUUUUUCGUUUCUCUCUGUCCCGAGUCAACAAUCCGACAAACACAAAGCUUUCAAUCUCUUUUCUUCUUCUUCUUUCUUCUUUUUUUUUUCUCUCUUUUCUCGAUUCCAUCGAUACUCAUUCAUCUUUUUCAUCUUCCCUCUUCACUCGUUUCUAUCGAUCCAAAGAUCCGUCCUCUCUCUUCUUCUUCGUGAGAAAUUCGCAGUGAAAUCGAGAAAUCCGCCGUGAGAACUCCGUCGUGUCUUCUCUUUGUAAGAUUUCAUUUGUUUGAUCCCUAAUUUUGUUUUAUUGUGUUAGGUUUAAUUAGGAUUUGAUUUCUUCCAAUUUCUUCUUCUCUGUGAGGGUUUGAUAUGUAAUUCUCUUUGAUUUUGUUUGAAACAAAUGCAUUUUGAAUGGAAUUUCGAUUACAAUUAGGAUUUUUUAUGAUUACAGUUCGGAUUUUAAGAUUACUAAUAGGAUUUGAAUUACAAUUCGGGUUUGAAAUUCGGACCACAUGUAGCUACUUUUUCUUGUUUUUAUUUGGAGAUAUUGAGUGAAAGUUGUAACUUUGUUUGUAAACUCUUCUUAAAAUGAUUGAUUUCUCUUGGUCAAUUUUGGAAGAAAUCUGGUUUCAAGUAAGUUAAUAAGGAGUGGAUUGCAGACAUAGAUGAAAUUUUUUGUACGUAUAUAUUAGCCUAUAACAUUUGUUUCUCUAUUACGAGAGGAGGAAAAGGAAAAGGAGACUGAGACUGAGACUGAGACUGAGAAGGAGAAGGAGAAAGAGAAGGAUAAGGAGAAGAAGAAGCAGAAGAAGACUUGGUGUGUUCAGAUGUGUUUUGGUUUCUAAUGUUAUGUAUGAAUCUAAGUGUUUAGGUACAAAUGGUACACUUAUGUACAACUAUGUAUCUGGGUUUGUAUGAAUCUAAGUUUUUUUGACAGAAAAAUCACCAAAAAACUAUGAGUCAAAGUGUUUUGAUGAAAAAAUUCACAACAACACUAUGAAUCUACUAAGUAUGUUAAAAAAUAUAUAGUGUUGAAAAAAAAAAGUAUUUUACUUUUUUUUUUUUUUGGUGAAUCUAAGUAUUUUGAUUAAAAUAAAAAAUAAAAGAAAUAUCUACAAAUAUCUAAAAAUAUCUGAGAAAGAUCUAACAUAAAUAUCUAAAAUUUGUUCAUAGUUGUACAGUUGUACUCGGUUGCACAUUUUUGCUCAUAGUUGUACAAUAUCGAGAAUUUAGUAAAUAUAGUUGUUAUCAACUCUAAAUUAAUUUUUGUGGGUGGAACCGAUGGUAUUGUCUCAUCAAAAUACCAUUUCUUUGUAUGAGUGUAGUUAUAUUUAUCAAAAUACAAGUAUUUCAAAAAUUUAAAAUUUUUUAGUUCAAAUCUACAAAGUAACAAUGGAAGUAUAAGGUUGUUAGUGUAUGAAUGUGAGAUUUUGUGAUAAGAAUUUCAUUAAUUUAGGAAAAUAUGAAUUUUUUUGUCAAAAACUUCUUGUGUAGUUUCAUUACCACCGAGUAUGCAUUUUUUAAGAUUUUUUUAUUUGGUUUUAAAUUUUCAUAUUAUAUAAAACUCUGAAAACUAGCUAAGGCAAUAGACCUUAGUUGUACAGGUUGUACUUAGUUGUACCAAGACAAAACAAUUUAAUUUGUAUAGAUACGAUAAAAAAUUCAACCAGAGUUGUAUCUGUUAAAACUUAGUUGUACGAAACAGAACAAGUAAGUUUCACAAACAAAACCAAUACAAACAACAUCGCUUCUUAAAUCAUCCUAAUAAUGGCACUUAGAAAUCAACCUUGGUCACCCUCAUCGUCCCAUCAACGUCACCAUCAUUGUUACCAUCAUUGGUAAACUACUCACCUAAACUACUCGGCCUCUUCGACCUCUUCUUACCUCAUUUUCUUCUAUGUUCUCCAAAGCAUAAGCACAAGCAAAUUAAAGCGGACUGAAUUCUUUUUUAUUGUCCCUGAAAAAGAAAGAGAGAAAGAAAAUGGUCUAUAAUUUUAUAUUUUUCGUAGCAGUCCAUCAACAUAGUUGUACUCAUUUGUCCCAAUUGCACCAAAUUUAGGGUUUCGGUAAUAUUAUACUUAGUUGUACCUAAUGGUUUCAGUUGUUCCAAAUCUACAAUUCCCAAUUUUUUCUACCAAAAACUGCAUUCAAGCUACGAAUUCAACUUUUCUCAAUCAUAAUUCACUAAAAAACAAGUAUACUUACUAGUGGAUAGAGAAGAAGAAGUAAACAACGAGCUUUAAUGGUGGAUGGAGAAAAAGAAAUAGAGAGGAAAUAUGUCAUUGAAGAUGCUUGAAUCGUAAGAAGAAGAAGAAUUUGAUUUUUUUAAGUUUUUUGAUGGAGAAGAAGAAGAAGAGAUGAGAUAUGUCUUUGGAGAUGGAGAAGAAAAAAAAAAGAAGAAGAAGAAGAAGAGAGGAGAGGAAAUAUGUCGUAAGAAGAAGAAGAAUAAUCUCAUUUUUUAAGGUUUUUGGUAGUUAAUGAGAGGGGAGAGAGAAUGAAUAUGAUUGGUUGCUUUUAAGAAUUUGUUGGUAAUAAAAUUUAAUGUAGAAAUAAAUUGGAUAAAAGGCAAGGGUAUAGUUGGUUUUUAAAUGUACUGGGAAGGAGAGGGGGUAGUGAGAAUAAGUGAGGGUUUUUGAAAGAAUGUUUGGAGGAAAAGGGGCUAGAGAUAUUUAAUUCCGAAGAAGAAGAAGAGCUCAGAGAAAGUUUUCGGCUUCUUCGUUCCCUUAACGAAACGGUUAAAGAACUUCUGAUCCAUCUAGGUCAGUCCGAGGGUCUAAUCUUUUCCGACUACGACGCCGUUUUUAGACGAAACUUAUCUAUGGGCCCAUUAAUCAUAUAGUCUCGGCCCAAACGAAAAUAAAUGUCGACUCAAAAUUUUUGUCGAUUUUACAAGUAAAAAUGAAAAUCAUUAAUCUUGGAUUUGAAUCCUAGUACCAAGAUCUUUGAUACUAUAAUCAAACGCAAAACUCAUUAAUCUCAUUCAGAGGUAUAAUUUACAGUCGUUCAAUCAUAUACACUAGGAUAUGACCCGCGGUACACCGCGGGAUAAUUUUUUUUUUUACUAUUUUGUUAUAAACUUAUGAAUUUGAUGUAUUAAUUUUUUUUUUAUUGGUACCGUAACGAAAGUUUGAUUAUGUAUGGUUUUUAAUAAGAUUUUACCCACGGUACACCGCGGUCUGCGGAAUAAUAUUUUAUUACAUAUAACAAUAUUGAUUUUUUACAGUUUUUUAAUUAGUAUUAGAAUUAUUUGAUUUAAAUUUUUAGUGCCUUUAGAUUUAACCCGUAGUAUAUAUGUAAUUUAGUAAUUAAGUAUUAUAGUUACACAUUUAAAGAUAUCAAAAGACACUAACAAUUCUAUUUAAAUCCUACCUCGGAUUAUUGCUAAUUGUAACCCGCUCCACUAUUAAAUCUGCGAAUUUUUAAAUAUAAUUUUUUUCAAGAUUGUUUUUUUCACAUUGAAAUAUUGUAUUUGUUUGAUCGAUAUGAAUAAUUAUAAUCAUAUUCAACUAUUUAAUAUUUGAAUAAUAUAGUUUUUGUUGUUUUUAUAUCUUUUUGUAUUUGUUUUGGUAAUUUUUUGUUUAACUGUUAUCGCACCUACUGGCCAACCCGUCAUCAAAAUCCCGCAACGCAUCCAUUUUUAACUGCUGGACCAGCCGUACAAAACGUUAAAUAUCGCUUAAACCGCAACCUUCCGUUUCGGUAACUGUCCAUUUUCGCAACUGCUCGUUUUCACAAAUUCUUUUAACUGCAACUGCAUUCGUUCGUCUAAACCAGUUAGGCUUUAAAUAUGGUGAUAUUAAAAUUAUAAAAUAUAAUAUGGGUUUAAAUUAUUAAUUGACAACAACAUUAUUCCUUCAUGUUUCUUAUCUUAUCUCAAGACAAAUAUUUUUUAUUAAUUUGAAAAAGAAAAAAUAGGUAACUAAGUUAACUUUUGAUCUCUCGAAAAAAGGGGAAAUGUGCCAAAAAUGUAAAUGUCAUUUUUUAAAUUGAAAAAGGUUUCCAAUUAAAAUGCAUGAGAAAUUCGAACCAUAAUUGCAUUACUUAAAAAAAUUUACCCAGCCCACGUCAUUUUUUUGUUGGGUCAAGCACAUAUUUGAGAUUAGACUACAAAACCCAUAAGCGAAAAAAAGAGAAAGAAUAGAAACCCAUCAUUAAGUAGAAACACAUCUCAACCAAUAUUUACAAAAAAAAUUUGUUCAUGUGAAGCGACUAAGCAUUUUCAUGGUUGACGGAGGAUGACGCAUCUCAGACCGUGAAGCCAAUUUAGUGAAGAAGGUGAAACAAUUAUGAUGUCAAUUUGGUGGAGCAAUCAAGACCAGCUUUGAAGCAUCUGGGAAGCAAAUUUAUGAUUCGAGUAUCUAUAGGUAGAGAUUCUACUCCUAAUUAAAAUAUCAAAAAAGUUCAAAUGAAAAUUGUUCUACCAUCUGCGAUUGAAUCUCAAUUAGAUAAAAGCAACCGACUAAUCUAUCAAUUGAAGACAGAAAUUCCAUGCAUCUGCCAUUGAUGUUAUUUCUUGGGAAAAUUCGAUUUCUUAUCAUUUUGUUCAUGGAUUCUUAAGGUAACUGAUUAGAAAUUUUAGAUCUUAUGGUUAAUGAUAGUACGUCUUCUGAUUCAUAAAUUUACAAUUAUAUUGCAAACAAUUAGAUCUCAUAAAAUAAUUUGUAAUGUUGUUACAGUUACAAUUUUGCACAACGUCUAAUUAAAAAGAUGGAGCCACUCAAAGGGCUGGUAGAAAAGUUGCUUGCUUCAGGUAACUUCAUUUACCCAGGCUGGUUUGGCUCUUGGAGAUCUCAGAUCAGUAAAGGAUCUGUAUGAUUUUAAGACUUUGUCCGUGCUAUUCCUCAUUGGAUCCAUCUCUAUAUUCCCUGCAACCCUAAUCAGAAAUCCAGAUCUGCUCCAUACCAAUCAUCCAAGGUCCAAAUCCAAUUUUCUUCUUCUUCUUCUUCUUCUUCUUCUUGGGAACACGACUUCAUCACCGCUCUAAGUAACAAUGGCCUUUACGCCGUCGUCUCUCCUCCCAAAAAUCUUUGUGGUUAUAAGAAGCCUAAUCUUCUUCUAAAACCAUCUUCUUCGACGCAUCGUCGCCUUCAGGUCAUAACUUCUUACGACAAUGGAGUUCUGGGGUAAACAUCUCCUAUUUCCCACACAGAUCUAAAAGCAAGGUUGGUCUUUAGUUUCUCUUACUUUCGGUAAAACUCUGCGGAUGAAAUCUUACUCUCAUAGGUCUCGUCAGCAACAGAGUUUACUGAUAAAGAAUCAGAAAAGCAUGACGAAUCUGAUGAUGGAGAACAGGAGAAGCAACAAGGGCUAAAGCAAGAACGUGAGAGUUUGGAGAAGAAAAGAUGAAGAAGGGUUGAGAGGAAGAACAAGCAGAAUUAGUUGACGAUUUGAGUGUAGUAAAACAAAGAAAUCAGAGUUAUCCUUGCUCGAGUAUGAUUAUGUUCCCAAGCUGGUUGUAUUCGUGGAUUCGAAUCUGCCAUGUCUAGCACGCCAAGUGUUCGACGAUAUUCCACACUUGAAUGUUGUCUCUGCUACAUCGGAAAUAUAAACGGUAAUGUAUAUGUCCUUUGCUUCGAGACAGAACAUGAGUAAUGAUGAUGGUUGGUUUAGUUUCUAGGUCUGGAAUUGAGAAGUUAGAAUGAAAUUGGUUAGUANNNNNNNNNNNNNNNNNNNNNNNNNNNNNNNNNNNNNNNNNNNNNNNNNNNNNNNNNNNNNNNNNNNNNNNNNNNNNNNNNNNNNNNNNNNNNNNNNNNNCCAUGUGAGCAAUGAAACUGGUCAAUAAGGACAUGUUCGUUUCCUUUAUGAAUCUUAAUGCUUAUUUUAUUAAAUAUUUGCCUAGUAAAUGAGAUUGGAAUUCUUAUCCCUUGAUACUUCAAGAAAAUAGAGACAAUGAUAACAUGAUGGAACUAUCAUAUUCGGCUAUCGCAAAGCUUGAUCAAGCAAAACAGAAUGAGAUCCAACCUUCUUCAUAAAAAUUAGAAGGUUAUUUACUUUACUUCGUCUUUGUUACUCUUGAUGGUUUUGGUUUUGGCAAUUUCAGUUCCAAACUAAUUCAGGCUAUCCACAAGCUUUCCUUUCGGCAUCAAGACUUCAAGGUAAACUAAUACUCUUUGAUUUCUCGUGUUUUCAUAAGGUUAGCAGCUGAUCAGUUCAAAUUAUUUAGUAGAUAUACCCUGCAUUUUAAGGAAAUUUGAAGCUAAUAAGCUUGUCUAUUGUACUGCAUUUUUAGGACUAUUGUUGCUUUGGAGAAGGCAGUGAAGUGAGAAUUGCUUGGAAUGAGACAACCUAAGUUCUUUGAAAGAGAGAAAGAGCAAGCUAAUGGGAAGGCAACGCACAUAGAGGGGAUGAGAUUGAAGUUGUCUUUAGAAUGUUAGCUUUAUUUUGUUUAAAACUUGGUAUGAUGUUAUGUUAAAAUGGAUAAUGUAAUAAUUAGGGCUGGGCUUUUAAACCGAACCGAAUGUACCGAACCGAAACCGAAGCAAAAAAAAUCGAACCGAACCGAACCGAAAAUUUGAAAAUAACCGAAUGGAUACUAAAUUUGAUAACCGAAAUAACCGUAACCGAAUCGGUACCGAACCGAAAUAUUUCGGGUAACCGAAAUACCCGAAAUACAAUUAUAUUUUCGAAAUAAUUAGUUAUUUAUAGACCAUAUAAUCAAAAAUACUUGAAAAAUCUAUAAAAAUAGUAAAAAUACUCAAAAAUAACCGAAAAAUAUCCAAAAAUAUUCGAAAAUACUCAAAAAUAACCGAAAUAUCCGAAAAUAUCCUAAGCAAAAUAACCGAAUGGAUACUAAAUUUUAAAACCGAAAGAACCGGAACCAAACCGAAACCGAACCGAAAUUUCAAAAUAUCCGAAUGGAUACUAAAUUUUAGAACCGAAAGAACCGAAAACCGAAUGGACCCAACCGAUAACCGAACGGAUAACCGAAAGCCCAGGCCUAGUAAUAAUAUUGUUAUGUAUGUUGAUGAUUUAUGAAAUAUAAACAUUAUAUUAUAAAUCCAAUUAAAUUUAUUUUGCAAAAUAGGAUUCAUAUAUAAUAAUUAUAUAUGCAAAUAGCUUAAAACAAUCGAAGUAUAGACUUGCUAUUGUAGAAUGCCCUAUGAUAACAAAAUGCAGGUGCUAUAUAAGAUUUAAUUAUAGCGUUGUAAUUUUGCUAUAGUAUCUGUAUAUAUCAUAGCAUUAAAAAAAAUGCUAUCGUAUGUCAAAAAACUAUUAUAGCUGCCGAUGUCAUAGCAUUAGUCAAUUCGCUAUCUUAUAUGUAUGAUAGCAUAAUUUCCGCGCUAACAAUGUGCAUAUUUCUUGUAGUGUAACUUCAUUUACACAGGCUGGUUUGGCUCUUGGAGAUCUCAGAUCAGUAAAGGAUCUGUAUGAUUUUAAGACUUUGUCCGUGCUAUUCCUCAUUGGAUCCAUCUCUAUAUUCCCUGCCCUCCUAAAGAGAAAGAGAGUAUUUUAUAAAACGUGUUAAAGGGCUGGUAGAAAAGUUACAAUUCAUGCUAGUGCUACGACUCAAUGCUCUCUUUCAGUCAAUUUUGUCCAUGAGGAAUCAGGUAACUUGUUCUCCCUGAAAUUCUUGGGCGGGGAGGAGCAUCUCUAAAAAAAUGAUCUUGUUACACAAAAGGUUAGAAAAACACCAAACAUAGUAACACCUCCAAAUUGACAAAUUGAGUGAAAGUACUUUGGCCGAUAAUGAUCAAAUUUUUGUAUUAUAGAAGUCGAAGAAUAAAACAAAAAAAGCUAAUCGUACCUCUCUUAGAGAAUGAAUUAACAAUAUGGCUCUUAUGUUAAGACUCUUAGCUAAUGAGAUCUAAAUUUGCUGUUUGUUUUUUUUUUAAAUCUCUGUUAUGUUCAAAAAAGAAAAACAAAAACAAAAAAGUUAUUAGAACAUUUGCUAAAUUUAUGGUCAAAAUUGAACCACAUAUCAAAAAUAAUAAUCGUAGAAGACAAAAAUAAAUUAAUGUGAAUUAAGUAAACUAUUGAGUGAAAUUUUGUACAUACCAGAAAUCCAUCAAACAUAUAUAUUAGUUUGAUAGAUCUGCAAUGCCACAAAUAUCCUGAAAACAAUAAAAAUAACAUGUUAACAUGAUAAUUGAUCAAAUUUUCAUUACAAACACAAAAUCGUUUUUCAAUGAUAUAUCUAUUCAUAACAAAAUAAGAGAAGCACCUUCACCUGCACACGCCAAUCUGUUUUGUAAGGCAUGAUGUCCCUCAAGCAAGCAAAGGAUUUGGCCAUUGGUGUUCGUAAAAAAAUUUUUGAGCUUAAGUUAGAGAUCGGAAAUGUAUUAGUGUUUUGUGUGUUUAGAUCUUGGAAAUGACCAUCUAUUUAUAGUGUUUAGAUAGAUUAGUAGGGUUUUAUGGUAGAGAAUAUACAAAAUCUUGAUUAGCAAAUAUUAUAUAUCUUAUAAAUAUUCAUGAUCCUAAAUCUAAUAGAAUAUGCUAUAGGAAAUAAGAAUAAAAUCAUUUAGUUAAGAAUCAUUUCCAAUUCAGUAGUUGUGAUUGAAUGUGGAUUUUAUACGGUUUAUUUGAUUUAGGAAACAAACUUUAAUGGGGUCAUAAUAUGUAGCAUUUUUAUAGGAAAUAAGUUGAAUAUAAAAUAUUCGUUUGUUAAUACGAUAUAUAUAGUUUACAAAAAAAAAAAAAAUAUAUAUAUAUAUAUAUAUAUAUAUAUAUAUAUAUAUAUAUACAAUGGAUAUAUAAUUGUGCAUUAAUUUCGGAAACGAAUUAAAUUCUGGAAAUUAAUGUUUAAAUUUUCCUAAUUUAAACAAUCGAAUUAAUGAUUUUUAUAUUGUAUUAGUUAUUUAUGAUAACUAAGGUAUGUGGAAUAAUCAUUAGAAAUUUAGAUUUGAUUUCGAUUUUAUUGUUUUAGUAGUUUUCAUUUGCUAGAUAUUCUCGAUAUUAGGUUUAAUAGCAUUUAAAAUUAAAUAUUUGAUUUCCAUAUCUUUUAAACUCAAAUAUAGUUUACGAAAAAUUAGGAAUGUUUAGUGAGUUAAUUUAUUGUUUUGUAAAAUUUGCUUAAGACAAUAUUUUUGUCAGAUUUUAUUUGUAGGAACUAAAUGUACAAUAUUGAAAUUGUAAAAGGAUUUUUGAGGCCAAAUCUUCACCAAAAAUGUAUAUAUAGAUUAUUGGAUCAAGUUGUAUAGAAAGCUAACCAAAUCUAUGAUGCAUUAUUUACAGAAGGAGAAGUUGAAAUGGCUUAAAGGCUUAUCGGUGAAAGAAUAUAGAGAGAUAUGGGUUUUUUUUGUCCACGCUAGCUACGUCCAAAUCUAAUAGCCUUAUCUAACUGUGAGUGGUGUCUGUAAAGAGGACGUUCAUUGUAAGGUCUCGGGUUAUAUAUAUAAUCAAUGAUCAACCACUAUGUAAAUCUUUUGAGUUUGGGACCUCUACCAAAUUCCCACAACAUAAAUUUUAUGGUACUGAUUCACAUCAUUCUCAACUUUUCUUUUUCACCCAUACAAACGCAUGACUCAAUUCAGAAGUCGAGAAGUACCAAAUACUUUUAAAAAUUUAAAUAGUUAAUGCUAGCCCUGGGCGUUUUAACCGGACCCGAUCCCCGACCAUCGAACUCGAUCCGAAGUGACGAGUUCGGCACGGGUGGAUUUAAAUCUCUCUAGCCCCUUUAGGGAGAAUCAAAUUUUGGAAAACCCCUCUUUAUUCUCACUACCCCCUCUCCUUCCCAAUUUUUCAAUAAACCAACUCUACCCCUUAUCCCUUUAUUUCUACAUUUAAUUUAAUACUAACACAUUUUUUAUUCAACCAAUCAAAAACUUUCUCUUUCUUCUCUCAUUAGAAAAAUAAACAUACCAAAUGUCUCACCUUUUACGUUAAACCUACGAGACUUUCUUCUCUUCUUCUUCUUCUUCUUCUUCUUCCUCUUUUUCUUCUUCUUCUUCUUCAACAGCUCCGACGUUCUUCAGCAGCUCCGACGUUCUUCUUCUUCUUCUUCUUCUUCUUCUUCUUCUUCUUCUCCAUCUACCAUUGAAGCUCACCAUUAAAGCUUGUAUCUCCAAAGACAUACCUCUUCUCUUAUUCUUCUUCUAUUCCAACCAUACUGUAAGGUAAGUAUACUUGUUUUCUUAGUGUAGUAUGAUUAAGUUGAAUUCGUAGCUUGAAUAGGGUUAUUUGUUGAAAUAUUUUAGGAUUGCAGAUUUGGGACAACUGAAACCACUGGGUACAACUAAGUAGAAUAUUUACGAAAAGUCGAAAACCUUAAGUUUGGUGCAACUGGGACAAAUGUGUACAACUAUGUUGAUGGUCUGCUACAAAAGUUGUGAAAUUAUAGGCCGUUUUUUUAUCUCUUUCUUUUUCAGGGACAAUGAAAAGGAAUUCAGUCAUACGCUUUGCUUAUGACGGAUACUAUACAAGUAUCGAAGAAGAUGUACAUUGGAUUUCUAAUGGAGAAGAUGAAGAAGUGUAUUCUUUUCUUAUGAAUAAAUCGAAAGGGGAAGUAUCAUAUGUUAAGAUAGUUGAGAAGAUUUGCAGAAAGAAAAAGGUAGAUGAGGCUACGACAAAGCUGAGAGUUAGCUACUUUCUCUUCACAUUCAAAGGACGUAAGCUAAGACCAAAUUAUAUUCGUGAUGAUGAAGAUGUUGUGUGUUAUUAUGAGGAUGUGAGUGAAGAAGGGCUUAGAAGUGUAUUGCAUGUCGAGCUCCGGGCACAUGACUUGUGCUGAAAGUAUUAUUGGAUCGAGCUUUGGGUUUUGGCGUACACGAAGACAAUUUAUCCGGUUCUCCAUAAUAGUCAAUGGGUUCUUCCUGAGGAGAUAAUGCAACUGUUUGUCUAUCCUCCGGAUUAUGAGGUAAAACAAGGAAGAAGACAAGAAAUAAGAUUCCCCUCCGUUCGAGAACAUAGAGGAAGAGGACGUAAGAAGAGGUCGCAUGGAUCGAGCGGUUUGGGCGAGUGGUUACCAAUGAUGGUGACGUUGAUGGAGACGAUGCGGAUGACCAAGGUUGAUUUCCCAGUGCUAUUUAUUAGGUUAAUUUAAGAAACGAUGUUGUUUGUAUUGGUUUUGUUUGUGAAACUUAUAUGUUCUGUGUUGUACAACUAAGUUUUAGCAGGUACAACUAUGGUUGAUUUUCCUUCUCGUAUCUGUGCAAAUUUUGUCAGUCUGGGUACAACUAAGUACCACAUGUACAACUAAAGUCUAAUGCCUUAGCCAAUUUUCAGAAUUUUAUAUAAUAUGAAAAUUUAAAACCAAAUUGAAAAAACUUGAAAAAUGCAUACACGAUGGUAAUGAAACUACACAACAAGUUUUUGACGAAAAAAUUCAUAUUUUUUAAAAAUACUGAAAUUUUUACUCAAAAUCUCACACUCAUACACUUACAACCUUAUACUUUCAUGGUUACUUUGUAAAUUUGAACUAAAAUUUUAUAAAUUUUUUGAAAUACUUGUAUUUUGAAAAAUAUAAAUGUACAUAUACAAAGUAAUGAUAUUUUUAUGAGGCAAUACCAUCGGUUCCACCAACAAAAAUUAAAUUAGAUUUGAAAACAACUAGAUUUACUAAAAUCUCUAUAUUGUACAACUAUGAACCAAAAUGUGCAACCGAGUACAACUGUACAACUAUGAACAAAUUUGAGCUAUUAUUUAAUAAUUGUUUUCAAAAUAACGGCGCCAUGUAUGCCAUUUGUCAGAUUUUUUCAAAAUAACGGCGCUAGGUAUGCCAAAAUAUCAACUAGAUUAACUUUUUUUUUUUUUUUCCAAAACCCUUACAAACCUACAUAUUUGUCAGAUUUUUUGAUUAAUUUAGAAUUUUUUUUUUUUGGUUCAAAACCCUUAGAUGAUAUUCAAUACAUAGAUUCAUACAUAGAAAUAUUAAGAUUCAGAUUAAAAGAUUCAUACAUAAUUAGAUUCAUAUUCAAAGAUUCAUACAUAAUCAAAAAACAUAAACCCAGAAACAUAGUUGUACCUAAUCGUACCAGUUGUACCUAAACACUUAGAUUUAUACAUCAACAUUAGACACCAGAAUACAAGCGGAACUCAUCAUCAGAGACCAAAAUAGGAGCCGAACUCUUCUUUUCCUUCUCCUUCUUCUUCUUCUUCUUCUCCUUCUCCUUCUCUUUCUCCUUCUUCCUUUCCUUCUUCGCCUUUUCCUCCAUAUCCAUCUGAGUUCAUCCUCUGUUAAUAGUCAUUGUAAUUACUACCUGAAACAACAAUCUCAUUAGAUAUCUACAUAAUUAUAAGAAAUCCGAAUUAUAAUCAUAAAAAAAAUCUAAAUUCAAUUAAUCCAUCUGUUUAAUUAAUUCAAACAA